GAUGAACGCUGGCGGCGUGCCUAAUACAUGCAAGUCGAGCGAACAGAUAAGGAGCUUGCUCCUUUGACGUUAGCGGCGGACGGGUGAGUAACACGUGGGUAACCUACCUAUAAGACUGGAAUAACUUCGGGAAACCGAAGCUAAUGCCGGAUAAUAUGUAGAACCGCAUGGUUCUACAGUGAAAGAUGGCCUUGCUAUCACUUAUAGAUGGACCCGCGCCGUAUUAGCUAGUUGGUAAGGUAACGGCUUACCAAGGCAACGAUACGUAGCCGACCUGGGAGGGUGAUCGGCCACACUGGAACUGAGACACGGUCCAGACUCCUACGGGAGGCAGCAGUAGGGAAUCUUCCGCAAUGGGCGAAAGCCUGACGGAGCAACGCCGCGUGAGUGAUGAAGGUCUUCGGAUCGUAAAGCUCUGUUAUUAGGGAAGAACAAGUGCGUAAGUAACUGUGCGCACCUUGACGGUACCUAAUCAGAAAGCCACGGCUAACUACGUGCCAGCAGCCGCCGUAA
rnacentral:rRNA from 1 species